GCAGACCACAGUAAUGCUGGUGUAGAAUAUAUGGUUAAGGUUUCCACUGGGUGGACAAAAAGGUGAUUUAAUAUGAGCCUGCCUUGAGUGUAAUAACAGACACCUCAACAAAACCAAUCUCGCACAUUGUUAAGAAACUACAAAGAAGUUGUCUCAAUUAAUCUCCCAAGACCCUAUCUUUAGUCUCUGUAGAGAAAUAAGAAAUUCUGGAAGUGACUCAUUUGGCCUAUUUUUAUCUUUUACUUUAGAAUGAAACUAAUCAUAUCUAGUCUCCACUGACCACACUGAGAAGGGGUCCAUUUACCAGAAAUGGGAGUGUGGAGUGACUAAGGCAGAUGUGGAUCUUUCUGUUUAGUCUGGUUACUAACUAGAAAAGUAUGAAUUAUGCCUUUGCAUGGAACUCAAACACAAGAAGUUAGAUUGCAACAUAGGCAGACAGAAAGAGACUUGCAGUGGAUCCUCAGCUCCUCUUCCAGAUGAGUGAGCAGUAUUUCCAAUAGCCUGUUUGCUUCUGGACACAUUUUACUUCUAGGUACAUUUCUCAAGGCUCCUUUGAGCACAAGAUGUUCACAUCCUGUAAAGGAGGGGAAAGGAUUUUAGAAGGUGGUAAAAGGGAAAAGGCCACUCCUGUCACACAGGUAUUCUCUAACACCUUUUGCCUGUUUGUCUUGGUCAGUGUGUAGUAAUUAGUAUAUCCUAAAGACUGUUGUAAUGGGUAAGAUUUAAGGGUGUGAACUGGCAGACUUCCUGUAUUAGAAAUUCUACAUGUUUCUUUCAACAUUCUAAAAAUACGUAAUUCAGGAAGAUUUUAAUGGUAUUUUUUUUGUUGUUGUUAUUCACAAAAUAUUUACAGAAAUAGAAAACUUGGCAUACUAAAACAUGGCAAAACCAUACUAAACAUGGGGGGAAAAAAAGCACUUAUUUUGCAGUUAUUUUUAAGUCUGGAGAUUGAUAUUGAAAUUGUUUUUUCUCUUACCAGCUUGCCAGUGAAACUUGUCACGCAGCUGAAGGAGGUCUGUUUUUGCUACAAAGCCGAACAGUGAUUCCUAUCGCUUUAGAUACAUGUGCUCCUGCUGUGUUAAAUGUUCCUUCAAUACUUCUGGCACCCCUGGUUUAGCUCAAAUCCCAGGGUAACAGACCACAGGGCAGCAAAUAAACCACUGAGUAAUUUUCUACUCUGUAUAUAAAGGAGCUGUGGAGAAUCAGACUUGCUGCUGAAGAUACUGCAAGCUAGCUUCACACCCCAAUUCCUCUACAUGUUUUUUGCCUCUUUUCCUUCAGCAUGGAGAGUCUGUUCUUGAUCCUCAAACUAGGCAGAAAAUUGUAUUUGCUUAUUUUUCUAAGAGACCUUAAACCCACUUUGUUUACAUAGGAUACUUAGUUUUCAUGCUGCCGUUUCAAGCUAUUAAGAGUGAAAGGUCUAUCACUUUACAGAGCUGAAAAAUUACCCCAUUCCUGGCUUGAAAGAGCAGAUUGAUAAGCAGGGUUGGGUUUGGAUCAGAAUAGGAGGUAAAAAAUAAUGACCAUCUCUGUUUUUUAAAUCAAGAUCAGAGUAAAAAAAAUCCAGAAACUUUGUCAUGAGAUGAUAGGAAAGCCCAUGGGAUGGGAGAAAGAAAGAGAUAAUCAAAUGUCAUCAAUUUAACUGGUAAAAUAUCGUAAGACAUCUGAGAAUAAUAUCACUGGAACCAACUCAGAUAUUUUUAAAAAAAACAGAUUGCAGAAAAAGUACAACAAGGUACAAUAUUGGAUUAUCAUGUUUUUUUUGGAAGAUAUUGUUUUUCAAAAGAAAGACUGUGUUGACACCCCAGUUUUGGGCUUUUCUUCUCAAAAAUUGUCGCUGAAAUGGUCUGUUUAUAAUGAUACAUUAUUCUAUCUUUUUGCAUUUGCCUACCAGCUUCAUUUCAGAGUGCCUGAAUUACCAUUUCAAGUACUGUCUAUAAAAUUCCUAAGGAAUUUACAGUUAAAAGUAAGCAAAAGAUCAUCUGCCAAGUAUAAUAGAACUGAAGUGAUGUGUAACAAAUUCACUUGCAUGGGAAUUGCAUUUCUGAAAGGACUUCAGAUCUGGCUGGUGAACAACUCCCUCAGCCUGACUCCAGCCCUCUGGACAUCUUUGUGGCCUCCUCUGGACUCACUCAAACAGGUCAAUGUCCUUCCUGUGAUGGGAACCUCAGAGCUUGAUGCUGUUGUCCAGCUGUGAUCUUACAGAACAAAGGGCAGAAAGCCACGCUCCUGGAUGCAUAAAUACAUACUCAUAACACGCACGUCAGCACAGCAAAGUUUUAGAGCCGUGGCAGAGCUGGUUUUCUCACUGAGAGCAUACACUGCCUCUUAUCUUGCAGCUCCAGCUCUAAAGUGUCGGGUUCUGCAGUGGAGACACUGCAGUGCAGCCAUAUACAAAACACAGGAAAAUCAGAGUCUCUGAUCGUUGUCUCAUUUGAAAUGGUCAGAGAUUAAAGCUGAAGGAAAACAGGAGCACUGGUAUGGUUGCUAAAGGUCUAUGGAAGAGUCAACAAAUCAGUAUUAUCCUGGCCAACACAACACACGGAACUCAGGUCAAUCAGUGAAAUCCAGUGUUACACUUCCUCUUGCACAAUCUCUGACCAUAACAUAUUUGUGCAGCUUGAAAAAUGAUGUUGGGGAGCUUUUCCAACGUGUGGUUUAGUGGUGCCUCUCUUCACAAAUCUGCAGCUACGUGGGAUCCCAUUACCAUCUUGGGGAUGAAAGAUCUGGCUAGUCUCUGCAAAGAGCUCGAGUGCAAGGAGAAGGAUUUACCCCUGCUCGCUCUGAGGAUGGCAGCAAGGACCACCACCAAGGCAGGUUCACAGCACCCUUCUGGAUUUGAGGAAUGACAUGAAAUGGGCUUUGGGUUUGACCCCAGAAAAAUGAGACAUAAAUUGCUGGGACUUCAAGAGCUACUUCCAUUUGAAAUGAAAGCAUCUGUAUGAAAUGAAGAACAGAAAAUUCAGAAGGCAUGAAAAGAGAAAAGAAGAGGAAGAGAUUCUUUAGCGGGAAAUUACAUUAUUAGAAUUAAAUAUUAUAUACAAAAACUCUGUAAAAGUGCUAUGUUAUAUAAAAAACUAGCCAUAUAAAGUUAACAGCUAUAUUUUUCAUUUUCUUGAUUUUGCUUCUUUGUGAUAUCAUUAGUGAGGAGAGGUGAAAUUUUUGAUCUCUGCUGCCAAGUACCCUUGUCACAGAGAAGAGGAGUGCUUACAAACACAGACUGGCUUAGGAGUUCCUGGUGGGGAAAGAUAAAAAAGGAGAGUAGUAAAGGUGUGAUGUGUGCAGAGAGCAUUAGAGAAGGAAUGAAUGAUGUUGGCAGCCUCAUCUGGGGAUCUGCACUUGGACAGGGGUGAGUUCUAGGACACAGUGGAGCUCAGUACCACAGAAUCACAGAAUUUGUGAGGAGCUUUCCUGUCCAGCAACCAAACACAGGAACAGAUUGCACAGAGAGGCUGGGGAGUCUCCCUCUCUGGAGAUAUUCCAGAACUGCCCAGAUUCAAUCCUGUGCAACGUGUUCAUGGAUAAUCCUGCUUGUGCAGGGGUGUUGGACCCACUGAGACCCCCUCUGAGUUCAGCUGCUGAAGGGGAAUACAUUUGUCUGUGAUAAAAAAUCUGUGAUGCAUCAGCAACAUGCAAGAAUAAAUAAGAUGAGAAAAUCUCCACGUGUCCUGGCUCUAUUUUUACUGAGUGU